GGAGUAUAGCUCAGAGGUAGAGUGUGUGCUUAGUAUGCCCAAGGUUCUGGGUUCAAUCCCCAGUACCUCCA
rnacentral:tRNA from 1 species